CGGCCCAGACUCCUACGGGAGGCAGCAGUGGGGAAUUUUGGACAAUGGGCGCAAGCCUGAUCCAGCCAUGCCGCGUGCGGGAAGAAGGCCUUCGGGUUGUAAACCGCUUUUGUCAGGGAAGAAAAGGUUCUGGCUAAUACCUGGGACUCAUGACGGUACCUGAAGAAUAAGCACCGGCUAACUACGUGCCAGCAGCCGCGGUAAUACGUAGGGUGCAAGCGUUGUCCGGAAUUAUUGGGCGUAAAGAGCUCGUAGGCGGUUUGUCGCGUCUGCUGUGAAAUCCCGAGGCUCAACCUCGGGCUUGCAGUGGGUACGGGCAGACUAGAGUGCGGUAGGGGAGAUUGGAAUUCCUGGUGUAGCGGUGGAAUGCGCAGAUAUCAGGAGGAACACCGAUGGCGAAGGCAGAUCUCUGGGCCGUAACUGACGCUGAGGAGCGAAAGCAUGGGGAGCGAACAGGAUUAGAUACCCUGGUAGUCCACGCCGUAAAC
rnacentral:rRNA from 1 species